UUGGGGGGGGGCGCAGUUGGGCGACGCGGUUUAAAUAGCACUCAACAAUGAGAAGAAAAGAGGUUUUGAGUAGAAUAUUGUAAAAACCAAAGCUUUAUUUCAAGAACACAGCGUGCUCAACACUGUCCAAUAACAACUAUCAACACACUGUAACUUUGGGCAUGAGAGGUUCAGAGCAGAAUUCUUUAAGAAACAUUGGGUUGGGUUUUAGAGGUUUGCAAAAUAAAAGAGUUUCACCCUCACAUGGAAGAGGUUCAGAGCAGAUGUUACAGAUGUGGAACGGGCAUGGAAGAAGUCGGCUCAGAUGGUGGAUUUUCCCAGCACUUAUUUAUUCUGCAGAAGACAACAGAACACACACAUUUGCCUUCUGAUCUGUCUCUGCACUUCCACUUCCCUCAGCAAAAUAAAACCAUUGUCCAUGGAAGACAGGACCACAUUAAAUCUAAAUAAUAACAAUUCUCAUCAAAAACCAUGGCUGUGUCUACUACCGCGCACUUGAGCACUUCGAGCACUGACUUUCAGUGUUCGAAGUGCGCCACUGAAAAAUCCAGCAGAAUUCAGUGCACUGAAAGUACCCGGAUGGUGCACUGCAAACGGGCAAAAAAUGUAGUGUAAAACGAUGGACACUACUCGCACUAAGCGGCCGCCAUCUUGGCGACGUAGCGGAAGAGGAGGAGCCCUUUCGCCAGCUUUUCAUUUUAUUUCUAAAACAAUGGCGGACAGCACAAGCGGUAGACCACGAAGCUACAGACCGUAAAUAGACUUUCCUGGAGGUGCUGGUGCUGGUCCUCUGCUGCCCUCCCGACAUCUGCAUCUGGCUCCAAUGACCUCUGGCACCUCACAUCCACCUCCAGGGCCUUUAAGAAGAUGGACCGCCAUCGCAUCUUCAGUAUCCCGAAGGACCUCUCCACAACACACCUCGCCUUUGACAGGCAGCAGUUGUAGCUUGGAGGUGGUUGCGGACAGGCUGCCUGAAGGGGGUCAUGAGGCAGAUGGGUUGGGACAGGCAGGGGGAGCCACCAUCCCCAAGGAUACAGUAUCCUGGUGGAGGGGAUGACUGCUCAUAGAAGAUGGGGCUGUUAUUCAGGACCCUGGCAUCAUGCACUGAGCCCGGGGCCUGUCGAAGGCCCUGGCCACCACCCGAUAGGAGGUGGCGCUGGCAAGCCAAAAAAUAAAAACUAGACAGGAGAUCUCGGGCCCCAACCGUGGUCAGUCAGUGCCCAGCACAGCCAUGAGGGCGUUGAAUGACUCGGGUGAGCCUGAAGUCCACCCUCAUGUCACUGUGGCCAUCACAAUACAACGCCAGCAGUGGCAUUGCAACAUUGAUACGGCAGCACCGCCUGGGACUGGGUGGCUGCUGUAGAGUGUGGGGAGUGGAGGGGAAGGGAAGAUUAUAUUAAUAUGUAAGUCAUUUUAUCAAUAAAAUGUUGUCAUUGA